rnacentral:lncRNA from 1 species
CGGGCAUGCUUUUCCCGUUGUAUCUAUGCUCUCCAUCCCACAUUUCCAUGGCUUUUAACGUGAUAAAUCCACAAUCAUAUCUUAAAUAAUACAACCAUUUAUAAGUAAUCACAACAAACGAUAAGAAAAUAUCCAAAUAUUUCAUUACAAUUAAUAAAACAACUUACAAGUUUGGUUGGGAUGGGAUAUUUUCUUGUUUAACAGACAGAGGACCUAUACUCCCUUCCGGUCUAUUGUACAACAUGGAAAAGAAUUUGGCCAUGUUUUCACCCUACC